GUGUCCCUCUAGUGUCCGGACCAGGAGGGGUAGACCCAUCAUACUUACAGACUUAUGUUGAUCUAGUGUGGUUGGCUAGCCAUUGCUAGGUCCCGCCUUCGAGCUGUGCGACCCAAUCAUGCGAGGGAGCCCCAGAUAGAAGAGCGGAUAGAGCUCCACAGCAUUAGAGUUCAACUAUUCUACCCUGUUUGAAGGGUAAGUCAUUUUGCUAGGGUUUGACAGAUUUUUGGAUGGUGACCCUAGGCCACUUUUGGAUAUUUUGGGGUGUAUCCCUGGUAUCCAUGGGUCUAGGUUGAUUAUGAUUUGCCAAAAUUAUUAUAUUGGAUAUUAUUAUGGAAAAAAAAUUUUAUGGUAAAAUAAGCA